rnacentral:lncRNA from 1 species
AGGGUUCAAUCUGGGUGUCAACAUAGAUAUUUAGAGAUAAAGAAAGUGAGCAAGUUGCUCUCAAGAUUGUCUCCAUGGAAAUACUAUGUGAAUUUCUAAUAAAGGUAAUGUAAGUGUAAUGCGCAUUAGGAUUUGUGGAACUUGAAAGAAGUAGGCCGAAUUAUGAGUAUGAUGUGUUCCCAUCACUACUCCCUAUAUACCCUGUGUUUACAUGUGCCUAUGUCUAAGAAGGUUGUUGGAGAUACUUUGUGUAUAAUUCCCCUGGAAACUACUGAACGCGAAGUUAAUGGAUAGUUGGCCUACGAGGGUAAUCUAUAUGUCAUCCUUGUUAGGUAAGUUUAGG